rnacentral:rRNA from 1 species
AACGAACGCUGGCGGCAGGCUUAACACAUGCAAGUCGAGCGCCCCGCAAGGGGAGCGGCAGACGGGUGAGUAACGCGUGGGAAUCUACCGUGCCCUACGGAAUAGCUCCGGGAAACUGGAAUUAAUACCGUAUACGCCCUACGGGGGAAAGAUUUAUCGGGGCAUGAUGAGCCCGCGUUGGAUUAGCUAGUUGGUGGGGUAAAGGCCUACCAAGGCGACGAUCCAUAGCUGGUCUGAGAGGAUGAUCAGCCACAUUGGGACUGAGACACGGCCCAAACUCCUACGGGAGGCAGCAGUGGGUAAUAUUGGACAAUGGGCGCAAGCCUGAUCCAGCCAUGCCGCGUGAGUGAUGAAGGUCUUAGGAUUGUAAAGCUCUUUCACCGGUGAAGAUAAUGACGGUAACCGGAGAAGAAGCCCCGGCUAACUUCGUGCCAGCCGCCGCGGUAA